AUUAAGCGGAGGAAAAGAAACUAACAAGGAUUCCCUUAGUAGCUGCGAGCGAACAGGGAAAAGCUCAGCAUUAAAUCUUGUAACUUAACAGUUAUCAAGAGAUGUAAUGUUUAGGAAGAUUCGUUUAUCCUAAAAUGUACACUUAGUCCAAGUCCACCUUGAAUGGGGCAUAUCCCGUAGAGGGUGCCAGUCCCGUAGUGGCAAGUGUAUAUAAAUCAUUUUAGGUGAAUCUUUCCUUAGAGUCGGGUUGCUUGUAAAUGCAGCUCUAAGUGGGUGGUAAACUCCAUCUAAAGCUAAAUAUAACCACGAGACCGAUAGCGAACAAGUACCAUGAGGGAAAGUUGAAAAGAACUUUGAAGAGAGAGUUCAAGAGUACGUGAAACCGUUCAGGGGUAAACGGGAGAAAUCCGAAUAUCUGAAGGAAGUGAUUCACGUAAAAUCUACAUUGUACUACAUGUUUUGAUCGAUGAUUAUUAAACUCCUUGCCUGUAACUUGUUUAUAUGGUAAGGGUUCAGUUUAAUGUCACGUUUCAUUCAUGUAUAUGUUUAUAAUGUGGUUUAUCGCAUUUCUACCUUCCUUAUUUAUAUAAAAGACGUCGCGACCCAUUGAAUUGCAGUCUAAGAUAUUAUAGAAAGUCCCAUAGAAAAUUGCAUCUUUUUUUAUUAAAAUUUGUAAUCCAUUUUAUGUGGUCCUAUAAAAUAUAUCUGACUGAUUAUUCGAUGGUAUCAAAUAAAGAGAUAACCCGCGUUUUUAACGCGUUUGAGUAUAGUUGUCAUAUAUAUAUAAUUUUCAAUGUGAUUGUUUCUUUUAGUACGGUCCUAAUGGUCCGUCUAAGAGUAAGCAUUGAUAACAAUUAUAUUCUCAAACAAAGUGGUUUCUAUAUAUAUUUUAAAAAUCUCUUGUCAGCGGCGUAUAUGUUUCGGAAUUUCACCCGACCCGUCUUGAAACACGGACCAAGGAGUCUAACAUGUGCGCAAGUCAUUGGGCAUAUAAAACCUAAAGGCAUAAUGAAAGUAAAGAAUUGAUUUGAUACCAAUUUAUAGGAUGAUAGAUUAUUAUCAUUUUUUUUUUUUUUAUUAAGAAAUGAUGAAUAAUCUCGCAAUCCUGGGGCGUCUCAUUCUCAUUGCGAGAAGAGGCGCACCUUGAGCGUACACGUUGGGACCCGAAAGAUGGUGAACUAUGCCUGGCGAGGACAAAGUCAGGGGAAACCCUGAUGGAGGUCCGUAGCGAUUCUGACGUGCAAAUCGAUCGUCGGAGCUGGGUAUAGGGGCGAAAGACUAAUCGAACCAUCUAGUAGCUGGUUCCCUCCGAAGUUUCCCUCAGGAUAGCUGGCAUUCGGAGUUAUAAAAAGAAAGAACGAGUCUCAUGCGGUAAAGCGAAUGAUUAGAGGCCUUGGGGCCGAAACGACCUCAACCUAUUCUCAAACUUUAAAUGGGUGAGAUCUCUGGCUUGCUUAAAUGAAGCUGUGAGUUUUAUUAUAUAUUUUUUAAAAAUAUAUAAAUAUGGAUCAGAGUGCCAAGUGGGCCACUUUUGGUAAGCAGAACUGGCGCUGUGGGAUGAACCAAACGUUGAGUUAAGGCGCCAAACACGACGCUCAUGGGAAACCAUGAAAGGCGUUGGUUGCUUAAGACAGCAGGACGGUGGCCAUGGAAGUCGGAAUCCGCUAAGGAGUGUGUAACAACUCACCUGCCGAAGCAACUAGCCCUGAAAAUGGAUGGCGCUGAAGCGUCGGGCCUAUACUCAACCGUCAGUGGCAAAAUGAAUAAAUUAUUUUUUUUUUUAAUUUAUUUUAAAGCCCUGCCGAGUAGGAGGGUCGCGGCGGUGAGCGUAAAAGGGUCUGGGCGUAAGCCUGCCUGGAGCCGCCGUCGGUGCAGAUCUUGGUGGUAGUAGC
rnacentral:rRNA from 1 species